GCUUAACAUGCAAGUCGAACGAUGAUCCCAAGCUUGCUGGGGGAUUAGUGGCGAACGGGUGAGUAACACGUGAGUAACCUGCCCUUGACUCUGGGAUAAGCCUGGGAAACUGGGUCUAAUACCGGAUAUGACUGUCUGACGCAUGUCAGGUGGUGGAAAGCUUUUGUGGUUUUGGAUGGACUCGCGGCCUAUCAGCUUGUUGGUGGGGUAAUGGCCUACCAAGGCGACGACGGGUAGCCGGCCUGAGAGGGUGACCGGCCACACUGGGACUGAGACACGGCCCAGACUCCUACGGGAGGCAGCAGUGGGGAAUAUUGCACAAUGGGCGCAAGCCUGAUGCAGCGACGCCGCGUGAGGGAUGACGGCCUUCGGGUUGUAAACCUCUUUCAGUAGGGAAGAAGCGAAAGUGACGGUACCUGCAGAAGAAGCGCCGGCUAACUACGUGCCAGCAGCCGCGGUAAUACGUAGGGCGCAAGCGUUAUCCGGAAUUAUUGGGCGUAAAGAGCUCGUAGGCGGUUUGUCGCGUCUGCUGUGAAAGACCGGGGCUCAACUCCGGUUCUGCAGUGGGUACGGGCAGACUAGAGUGCAGUAGGGGAGACUGGAAUUCCUGGUGUAGCGGUGAAAUGCGCAGAUAUCAGGAGGAACACCGAUGGCGAAGGCAGGUCUCUGGGCUGUAACUGACGCUGAGGAGCGAAAGCAUGGGGAGCGAACAGGAUUAGAUACCCUGGUAGUCCAUGCCGUAAACGUUGGGCACUAGGUGUGGGGGACAUUCCACGUUUUCCGCGCCGUAGCUAACGCAUUUAAGUGCCCCGCCUGGGGAGUACGGCCGCAAGGCUAAAAACUUCAAAGGAAUUGACGGGGGCCCGCACAAGCGGCGGGAGCAUGCGGAUUAAUUCGAUGCAACGCGAAGAACCUUACCAAGGCUUGACAUGAACCGGUAAUACCUGGAAACAGGUGCCCCGCUUGCGGUCGGUUUACAGGUGGUGCAUGGGUUGUCGUCAGCUCGUGUCGUGAAGAUGUUGGGUUAAGUCCC
rnacentral:rRNA from 2 species